UAUCCGUCACCCGCCAGCGAGAGUUCGCCCGCGGGUGCGUUUUGUG
rnacentral:sRNA from 1 species